UCAUCAAGUGAAGAGUGAGCGUGUUACAUGUGAUGGUAUGAAAGGCCAAGCUGUUGGUUUCAUGAGAUAAUGGUACAGCUGUUAUGGAGCUGCUGAGCAGAACCAAAUAGCUUGCUGUGAAGUGAGCAAAGAAGUGUAUUGCUUCAACAGAAUAACAUGACACUGUCACCACAGGUACUGCAGAGUUCUGAAAAUAUGAAAGAAUUUUUUUGGACUCUGUUUAUGUGUGAGUUGUUUCCAGCCCUUUGUACCCACCGAGAGUCCUGUACAGUAUUGAGAACAGCCUGGAAUCCCUGACAAAUACCUGGCAGUGCCAACAGCUGGAGCAGGCAGAAUGUGAACUCCCUGAAAUGGAAAGUCAUCCAAAAACAUGCUUCUAGGAUCCCAACUCUCCUUUACUUCUUAGGAGCUAAUUAAAUAUUUCCAUCAAAGUGAAUUAAUAAAAUGUGUUGCAGGUUGUCACUGUGGACCCAUAGGCUUUCAUGGAGCUCGAGGAAAGAGCCUGCAGAGAGAAACAGGACAUGUAAAAAUGUGAUUUCAGUGGAAAAAUUGAGCAAACUUGGUUAAUUAACAGAGAAGACUUUGAUGGAACUUGUGGCAGUCUUCAGGUACAUAAAAAGAGAAAGAGCUAAGAGAAGGAGCAUUUUGUGGUACUGAAUAGAAACAAUGGCCAUGGUGGUCCAGUUUGCGCAUUGAUAGGACUUAUAUUUAAUGUGUAUAUUUAAACUCAACAAUAAAAUGCUUAGUUGGACUGGAAAAUCUCCAUUUGGGGACUUAAGGAAUUAUUUAGAUACAAUCUGUCAAGGCU